UUAAAGAGUUGGUAACCACCCUGCAUCCUCAAUGCAAAGUCAUCUCCAGACCAACUGUUCGUUCAAGAAUACAUGAAUACAUGAAUCUGCCAAUCACACCUUGGCAGGGUAAAUUAUUUUGACACCAUCACCGAUUGUUGGACAGCUCAUCAAAGGAGUUACAUCGUGGUCACAUGUCACUGGACAGAUGAAGAAACUCUGGUGAGACGUUCUGCUGCAUUAGUUUGCAAGAGAUUGAGAGGCUCCCACACAUUUGAUGUGCUUGCAGGUGCCCUCGAUGACAUCCAUUGUGCAUACAGGAUCAGGGUGAAAGUGAUAAGAUCCACAAAAGACAGUGGAUCAAACUUCAUCAAAGCAUUCAAUGUUUUUGGUGAGCAGAGCCAGCAGACCGAAACUCAGAUGUUGAAGAGCCAGCAGAGCAGGUUGAAUACCAAGACUCAUAUUCCAUCCUGGUUAAUGGCCUAGAAUAUAAACUCCCUCAGCAUCAACGGUGUGCAUGUCACCUGCUGAACCUCAUUGCUACAGAUUCUGUGUUGGCAGAAACAAAUAGUGAUAGCUACAAAAGGUUGUCCAGGUCAUCUUUUGCCAAAUGCCAAGCCAUGUGGAAUAAAAUGGGGCGGUCAACCUUAGCUGCUGAAGUUGUAGAGAAUGAGUGCAAACUGCAGUUCAUCCAUCCAAAUCAAACACGUUGAAACUCAACUUCCCUGGCUGUGGAGAGGAUCACACAUAUCAUUCAAGAGAAGGGGGAGGAUGCCAAAACAAAUGUGUUAAGAAUUAAGUGAAAAUCUUUCAACAUUCUACAGUCUGAGAUCAACACGCAUAUGUGGUGGCUGCUGCCAGUGAUCUUCUUACUAAAAACAAAACUUCAAAGGCUGGAAGCAUCUUGCCAAAUGUACCUACCACUUAUCAGAGCCAUUCAGAACAGUCUCCAAAAGCACUUUGGAGAAAUGAUGGAGGAGCCACAGCUUAUUGCUGCUGCAAUCCUUCUGCCAAAGUUCAAGACGUCUUGGACUGACAAAGCUGAUGUCAUCACAGCCGGUUUGGCGUACCUGAAGAAUCAUCUUGACACAAUCACACAGGACGAGACUGCUCAUCUAAGGCAGCAUUCAUCUGAUGAGGAUUUCUUCAUCACUGACAACCAAACGGUCAGAAGGUACAGGGGAGCUGGAUGGGUAUCUUGCGAGUCCAUUGGACGAAAUGGAUUUACUUCAUUUGUUUCCGUACAUAAGAAUUUGCUGCCUGUGAGCGUCUUUGUAGCUGUGCUGGACUACGCUUCACUGCGAAGUGAGCUAGGAUAGACUCAAUUAACUUAGAAAAUCAGCUCCUACUGAAACUGAAUGGCAAAUUCAGAGACAACUGGAGUGAGUUAAGUGUUCAAUAGGCAGUUCCACAAAAAAAAAAAAUGCCUUUUAAACAUUUGUAUAUGUGAAGUUGAAGAUUUAACAUUAAAAUCAGCUGUGCUGAAUCUUAUCUUGUUGGUUAUUUUCUGGUGUUUUAUGGAACAUUUAGCUUGUCAAGCAUUACAUGUAAACAAUAUUACAUAUACAGUAGUAUAUAGAAAAGUUUUUGUAAAAGUUCUUAG